GUAGCAUAAUCAUUAGUCUCCUAAUUAGAGGCUUGUAUGAAUGGUCGGACAAGAUAGGAACUGUCUCAAUACAAUUAAUAGAAUUUAAUAUUUAAGUAAAAAAGCUUAAAUAAUGUGGAGGGGCGAUAAGACCCUAUAAAGCUUUAUAWUAAUUUUUUUUUUAUAAAAAUUAUGGUAUUAUAACUUAUUAAAAAAUCAUUAUUAUUUUACUGGGGCGGUAAAAGUAUAAUUUAGAUUAACUGCUUUUAACAUAAAAACCAAUAAUAAUUGAGAAUAAUUUGAUCCAUUAUUAAUGAUCAUAAAAACAAGUUACUUUAGGGAUAACAGCGUAAUUUUUCUUGAAAGUUCCUAUCAAAAGAAAAGUUUGCGACCUCGAUGUUGAAUUAAGGGUGCUCCAAGGUGCAGCAGUUUUGGGGGCAGAUCUGUUCGAUCUUUAAAUCUUUACAUGAUUUG
rnacentral:rRNA from 1 species